rnacentral:rRNA from 1 species
UACGGGGGGAGCAAGCGUUGUUCGGAUUUACUGGGCGUAAAAGGGCGCGGUAGGCGGUCGUGACAAGUCACUUGUGAAAUCUCCGGGCUUAACUCGGAACGGUCAAGUGAUACUGUCGGACUAGAGUACAGAAGGGGGCAACUGGAAUUCUCGGUGUAGCGGUGAAAUGCGUAGAUAUCGAGAGGAACACCUGCGGCGAAGGCGGGUUGCUGGGCUGAUACUGACGCUGAGGCGCGAAAGCCAGGGGAGCGAACGGG